GACGAACGCUGGCGGCGUGCUUAACACAUGCAAGUCGAACGGAAAGGCCCUGCUUUUGUGGGGUGCUCGAGUGGCGAACGGGUGAGUAACACGUGAGUAACCUGCCCUUGACUUUGGGAUAACUUCAGGAAACUGGGGCUCAUAUCGGAUAGGAGCUACUGCUGCAUGGUGGGGGUUGGAAAGUUUCGGCGGUUGGGGAUGGACUCGCGGCUUAUCGGCUUGUUGGUGGGGUAGUGGCUUACCAAGGCUUUGAAGGGUAGCCGGCCUGAGAGGGUGACCGGCCACAUUGCGACUGAGAUACGGCGCAGACUCCAACCGGAGGCAGCAGUGGGGAAUAUUACACAAUGGGCGGAAGCCAGAUGCAGCAACGCCGCGUGCGGGAUGACGUCCUUCGGGUUGUAAACCGCUUUCGCCUGUGACGAGGCGUGAGUGACGGUAAUGGAUAAAGAAGCACCGGCUAACUACGUG
rnacentral:rRNA from 1 species